rnacentral:rRNA from 1 species
CAGCGUUGUCGGAUUAUUGGGCGUAAGAGCUCGUAGGCGGUCUGUCGCGUCUGGUGUGAAAUCCCGAGGCUCAACCUCGGGCUUGCAUCGGGUACGGGCAGACUAGAGUGCGGUAGGGGAGACUGGAAUUCCUGGUGUAGCGGUGGAAUGCGCAGAUAUCAGGAGGAACACCGAUGGCGAAGGCAGGUCUCUGGGCCGCAACUGACGCUGAGGAGCGAAAGCAUGGGGAGCGAACAGGAUUAGAUACCCUGGUAGUCCAUGCCGUAAACGUUGGGCACUAGGUGUGGGGCUCAUUCCACGAGUUCCGUGCCGCAGCUAACGCAUUAAGUGCCCCGCCUGGGGAGUACGGCCGCAAGGCUAAAACUCAAAGGAAUUGACGGGGGCCCGCACAAGCGGCGGAGCAUGCGGAUUAAUUCGAUGCAACGCGAAGACCUUACCAAGGCUUGACAUGCACCGGAAACACUCAGAGAUGGGUGCCCCGUAAGGUCGGUGCACAGGUGGUGCAUGGUUGUCGUCAGCUCGUGUCGUGAGAUGUUGGGUUAAGUCCCGCAACGAGCGCAACCCUCGUCCUAUGUUGCCAGCGGGUUAUGCCGGGGACUCAUGGGAGACUGCCGGGGUCAACUCGGAGGAAGGUGGGGAUGACGUCAAAUCAUCAUGCCCCUUAUGUCUUGGGCUUCACGCAUGCUACAAUGGCCGGUACAGAGGGCUGCGAUACCGUAAGGUGGAGCGAAUCCCAAAAAGCCGGUCUCAGUUCGGAUUGGGGUCUGCAACUCGACCCCAUGAAGUCGGAGUCGCUAGUAAUCGCAGAUCAGCAACGCUGCGGUGAAUACGUUCCCGGGCCUUGUACACACCGCCCGUCAAGUCACGAAAGUUGGUAACACCCGAAGCUCAUGGCCCAACCGGUUUCCGGGGGGAGUGGUCGAAGGUGGGACUGGCGAUU